UGGAAGAUAGUAUAGGGGUAGUACGGAGAGUUUUGGGGUCUCAGGUGUAGGUUCAAGUCCUGUUCUUCUAA
rnacentral:tRNA from 1 species